rnacentral:rRNA from 1 species
GAUGAACGCCGGCGGCGUGCCUAAUACAUGCAAGUAGAACGCUGAAGCUUGGUGCUUGCACCGAGCGGUGAGUUGCGAACGGGUGAGUAAACGCGUAGGUAACCUGCCUCUUAGCGGGGGAUAACUAUUGGAAACGAUAGCUAAUACCGCAUAAAAGUCGAUAUCGCAUGAUAUUGAUUUGAAAGGUGCAAUUGCAUCACUAAGAGAUGGACCUGCGUUGUAUUAGCUAGUUGGUGAGGUAACGGCUCACCAAAGCGACGAUACAUAGCCGACCUGAGAGGGUGAUCGGCCACACUGGGACUGAGACACGGCCCAGACUCCUACGGGAGGCAGCAGUAGGGAAUCUUCGGCAAUGGGGGCAACCCUGACCGAGCAACGCCGCGUGAGUGAAGAAGGUUUUCGGAUCGUAAAGCUCUGUUGUAAGAGAAGAACGAGUGUGAGAGUGGAAAGUUCACACUGUGACGGUAACUUACCAGAAAGGGACGGCUAACUACGUGCCAGCAGCCGCGGUAAUACGUAGGUCCCGAGCGUUAUCCGGAUUUAUUGGGCGUAAAGCGAGCGCAGGCGGUUAGAUAAGUCUGAAGUUAAAGGCUGUGGCUUAACCAUAGUACGCUUUGGAAACUGUUUAACUUGAGUGCAGAAGGGGAGAGUGGAAUUCCAUGUGUAGCGGUGAAAUGCGUAGAUAUAUGGAGGAACACCGGUGGCGAAAGCGGCUCUCUGGUCUGUAACUGACGCUGAGGCUCGAAAGCGUGGGGAGCAAACAGG